rnacentral:rRNA from 1 species
ACGAACGCUGGCGGCGUGCUUAACACAUGCAAGUCGAACGGGCCUGUCUUCUUUUUUGGGGGUGGGUUGAGUGGCGAACGGGUGAGUAUCACGUGAGUAACCUGCCCUUCGGUCCUGGAUAACCGCUUGAAAGGGCGGCUAAUACGGGGUGGUCCGGUUGGUCCGCAUGGGCUGGUCGGGAUAGAUUCACUGUUUUUGGUGUUUCGGCGGGGGAUGGGCUCGCGGCCUAUCAGCUUGUUGGUGGGGUGAUGGCCUACCAAGGCGGUGACGGGUAGCCGGCCUGAGAGGGUGGGCGGCCACACUGGGACUGAGAUACGGCCCAGACUCCUGCGGGAGGCAGCAGUGGGGGGUAUUGCACAAUGGGCGGAAGCCUGAUGCAGCGACGUCGCGUGAGGGAGGGAGGCCUUCGGGUUGUGAACCUCUGUUUCCGGUGGUGAAGGCCCUGUCCGUGUGGUGGGGUUGACGGUAGCCGGGGAUGAAGCGCCGGCUAACUACGUG